rnacentral:rRNA from 1 species
AUUGAACGCUGGCGGCAUGCCUUACACAUGCAAGUCGAACGCGAAAGCGGGGGCAACCCUGCAAGUAGAGUGGCGAACGGGUGAGUAACACAUCGGAACGUACCCAGGAGUGGGGGACAACCUCGGGAAAUCGAGGCUAAUACCGCAUACGUCCUGAGGGAGAAAGCGGGGGGUCGCAAGACCUCGCGCGCAUGGAGCGGCCGAUGUCCGAUUAGCUAGUUGGCGGGGUAAGAGCCCACCAAGGCGACGAUCGGUAGCUGGUUUGAGAGAACGACCAGCCACACUGGGACUGGGACACGGCCCAGACUCCUACGGGAGGCAGCAGUGGGGAAUUUUGGACAAUGGGGGCAACCCUGAUCCAGCCAUGCCGCGUGAGUGAAGAAGGCCUUCGGGUUGUAAAGCUCUUUCGGCCGGAACGAAAUCGGGUACGUGAAUAACGGAUCUGGAUGACGGUACUGGAAGAAGAAGCACCGGCUAACUACGUGCCAGCAGCCGCGGUAA